rnacentral:tRNA from 1 species
GCAGUGGUGGUUCAGUGGUAGAAUUCUCGCCUUUCAUGAGGGAAACCCGGGUUCGAGUCCUGGCCAGUGCA